rnacentral:lncRNA from 1 species
AGGAGUUGACGUCUAAUUAAUUUUAAUUAAGAGGCUCAGGUGAAUGCAAAUGUAGGAUGGUGGUUUGUGGGCUGAGGGAGGGUGAUGAAAUCUUUACUUUAUAUUGUUUAUAAGUUAUGCCCUUAAGAUGUUUUAUGAAAAUAUGCAAUGCAAAAAGAGAGGAUAUUCAAUAUAAGUAAGAAGCUUUAAGGUUUAAUUAGUUUCUCUAUUUUAGUUAAGUAUUA